UACGUAGGGGGCUAGCGUUGUCCGGAUUUAUUGGGCGUAAAGAGCGUGUAGGCGGCCAGGUAGGUCUGCUGUGAAAACUCGAGGCUUAACCUCGAGAUGUCGGCGGAAACCAUCUGGCUAGAGUCCGGAAGAGGAGAGUGGAAUUCCUGGUGUAGCGGUGAAAUGCGCAGAUAUCAGGAAGAACACCCGUGGCGAAGGCGGCUCUCUGGGACGGUACGUGACGCUGAGACGCGAAAGCGUGGGGAGCGAACAGG
rnacentral:rRNA from 1 species